UCCCGUGUAGCUCAGUUGGUAGAGCAUGGUGUUUGCAACGCCAGGGUUGUGGGUUCGGUUCCCACAGGGGAC
rnacentral:tRNA from 1 species